rnacentral:rRNA from 1 species
AUUGAACGCUGGCGGCAUGCUUUACACAUGCAAGUCGGACGGCAGCACAGAGAAGCUUGCUUCUUGGGUGGCGAGUGGCGAACGGGUGAGUAAUAUAUCGGAACGUACCGAGUAAUGGGGGAUAACUAAUCGAAAGAUUAGCUAAUACCGCAUAUUCUCUGAGGAGGAAAGCAGGGGACCUUCGGGCCUUGCGUUAUUCGAGCGGCCGAUAUCUGAUUAGCUAGUUGGUGGGGUAAAGGCCUACCAAGGCGACGAUCAGUAGCGGGUCUGAGAGGAUGAUCCGCCACACUGGGACUGAGACACGGCCCAGACUCCUACGGGAGGCAGCAGUGGGGAAUUUUGGACAAUGGGCGCAAGCCUGAUCCAGCCAUGCCGCGUGUCUGAAGAAGGCCUUCGGGUUGUAAAGGACUUUUGUCAGGGAAGAAAAGGCUGUUGCUAAUAGCGACAGCUGAUGACGGUACCUGAAGAAUAAGCACCGGCUAACUACGU